UUGAAGAGAAAACAAAAUUAAUUUUGUUAUAAUAGCAGUUUAUUAAGAAUAUGCAAACAUUUUCUUGUCAGUAAUGCGUAAUUAUUCGUGUUUUAUUGCAGAUUGUUUACAAUUGACCGUUGAUCCAGCUCAUGAAGGAGGUGACUCUGGCGAAAGCAGCGGGGGAACCGACCUGGCAACCGCGGGCAGAUCCGAAGGAAGUGACACCGAUC